rnacentral:rRNA from 1 species
AGAGUUUGAUCCUGGCUCAGGAUGAACGCUGGCGGCGUGCCUAAAACAGAUAAGGAGCUUGCUCCUUUGACGUUAGCGGCGGACGGGUGAGUAACACGUGGGUAACCUACCUAUAAGACUGGGAUAACUUCGGGAAACCGGAGCUAAUACCGGAUAACAUUUGGAACCGCAUGGUUCUAAAGUGAAAGAUGGUUUUGCUAUCACUUAUAGAUGGACCCGCGCCGUAUUAGCUAGUUGGUAAGGUAACGGCUUACCAAGGCGACGAUACGUAGCCGACCUGAGAGGGUGAUCGGCCACACUGGAACUGAGACACGGUCCAGACUCCUACGGGAGGCAGCAGUAGGGAAUCUUCCGCAAUGGGCGAAAGCCUGACGGAGCAACGCCGCGUGAGUGAUGAAGGGUUUCGGCUCGUAAAACUCUGUUAUUAGGGAAGAACAAACGUGUAAGUAACUGUGCACGUCUUGACGGUACCUAAUCAGAAAGCCACGGCUAACUACGUGCCAGCAGCCGCGGUAAUACGUAGGUGGCAAGCGUUAUCCGGAAUUAUUGGGCGUAAAGCGCGCGUAGGCGGUUUCUUAAGUCUGAUGUGAAAGCCCACGGCUCAACCGUGGAGGGUCAUUGGAAACUGGGAAACUUGAGUGCAGAAGAGGAAAGUGGAAUUCCAUGUGUAGCGGUGAAAUGCGCAGAGAUAUGGAGGAACACCAGUGGCGAAGGCGACUUUCUGGUCUGUAACUGACGCUGAUGUGCGAAAGCGUGGGGAUCAAACAGGAUUAGAUACCCUGGUAGUCCACGCCGUAAACGAUGAGUGCUAAGUGUUAGGGGGUUUCCGCCCCUUAGUGCUGCAGCUAACGCAUUAAGCACUCCGCCUGGGGAGUACGACCGCAAGGUUGAAACUCAAAGGAAUUGACGGGGACCCGCACAAGCGGUGGAGCAUGUGGUUUAAUUCGAAGCAACGCGAAGAACCUUACCAAAUCUUGACAUCCUUUGAAAACUCUAGAGAUAGAGCCUUCCCCUUCGGGGGACAAAGUGACAGGUGGUGCAUGGUUGUCGUCAGCUCGUGUCGUGAGAUGUUGGGUUAAGUCCCGCAACGAGCGCAACCCUUAAGCUUAGUUGCCAUCAUUAAGUUGGGCACUCUAGGUUGACUGCCGGUGACAAACCGGAGGAAGGUGGGGAUGACGUCAAAUCAUCAUGCCCCUUAUGAUUUGGGCUACACACGUGCUACAAUGGACAAUACAAAGGGCAGCUAAACCGCGAGGUCAUGCAAAUCCCAUAAAGUUGUUCUCAGUUCGGAUUGUAGUCUGCAACUCGACUACAUGAAGCUGGAAUCGCUAGUAAUCGUAGAUCAGCAUGCUACGGUGAAUACGUUCCCGGGUCUUGUACACACCGCCCGUCACACCACGAGAGUUUGUAACACCCGAAGCCGGUGGAGUAACCAUUUAUGGAGCUAGCCGUCGAAGUGACAAAUGUG